rnacentral:rRNA from 1 species
UACGUAGGGUGCGAGCGUUGUCCGGAAUUAUUGGGCGUAAAGAGCUUGUAGGUGGUUUGUCGCGUCUGCUGUGAAAAUCCGAGGCUCAACCUCGGACUUGCAGUGGGUACGGGCAGACUAGAGUGUGGUAGGGGAGACUGGAAUUCCUGGUGUAGCGGUGAAAUGCGCAGAUAUCAGGAGGAACACCGAUGGCGAAGGCAGGUCUCUGGGCAUUAACUG